rnacentral:rRNA from 1 species
CCUACGGGAGGCAGCAGUGGGGAAUAUUGGACAAUGGGGGCAACCCUGAUCCAGCCAUGCCGCGUGUGUGAAGAAGGCCUUCGGGUUGUAAAGCACUUUCAGUGAGGAAGAAGGCCUGCGGGUCAAUAACCGGCAGGAAGGACAUCACUCACAGAAGAAGCACCGGCUAACUCCGUGCCAGCAGCCGCGGUAAUACGGAGGGUGCGAGCGUUAAUCGGAAUUACUGGGCGUAAAGCGCGCGUAGGUGGCUUGAUAAGCCGGUUGUGAAAGCCCCGGGCUCAACCUGGGAACGGCAUCCGGAACUGUCAGGCUAGAGUGCAGGAGAGGAAGGUAGAAUUCCCGGUGUAGCGGUGAAAUGCGUAGAGAUCGGGAGGAAUACCAGUGGCGAAGGCGGCCUUCUGGACUGACACUGACACUGAGGUGCGAAAGCGUGGGUAGCAAACAGGAUUAGAUACCCCAGUAGUC